rnacentral:rRNA from 1 species
AUGGGAACGCGAAGAACCUUACCUACUCUUGACAUCCAGAGAACUUAGCAGAGAUGCUUUGGUGCCUUCGGGAACUCUGAGACAGGUGCUGCAUGGCUGUCGUCAGCUCGUGUUGUGAAAUGUUGGGUUAAGUCCCGCAACGAGCGCAACCCUUAUCCUUUGUUGCCAGCGGUCCGGCCGGGAACUCAAAGGAGACUGCCAGUGAUAAACUGGAGGAAGGUGGGGAUGACGUCAAGUCAUCAUGGCCCUUACGAGUAGGGCUACACACGUGCUACAAUGGCGCAUACAAAGAGAAGCGACCUCGCGAGAGCAAGCGGACCUCAUAAAGUGCGUCGUAGUCCGGAUUGGAGUCUGCAACUCGACUCCAUGAAGUCGG